rnacentral:rRNA from 1 species
AAAAGCUCGUAGUUGGAUCCCAGCCCGGGACGGGGUGUCCGCCCACCGGCGGGCUCCCCCGACCCCGGCGUCGCGCCGGUUUCCCCCGAUGAUCUUCACCGGUUGUCUCGGGUGACCGGCAAGUUUACUUUGAAAAAAUUAGAGUGCUCAGGGCAGGCGUGACGCCUGGAUAAUGGUGCAUGGAAUAAUGGAACAGGACCUCGGUUCUGUUUUGUUGGUUUUCGGAACGCGAGGUAAUGAUCAAGAGGGACAGACGGGGGCAUUCGUAUUGCGGCGCUAGAGGUGAAAUUCUUGGACCGCCGCAAGACGAACCACUGCGAAAGCAUUUGCCAAGAAUGUUUCCAUUAAUCAAGAACGAAAGUCAGAGGUUCGAAGGCGAUCAGAUACCGCCCUAGUUCUGACCAUAAACGAUGCCAGCCAGCGAUCCGGCUGCGUUCCUCAAAUGACGCGCCGGGCAGCUUCCGGGAAACCAGAGCUUCUGGGUUCCGGGGGGAGUAUGGUUGCAAAGCUUAAACUUAAAGGAAUUGACGGAAGGGCACCACCAGAAAUGGAGCCUGCGGCUUAAUUUGACUCAACACGGGAAAGCUUACCCGGCCCGGACACAGGAAGGAUUGACAGAUUGAGAGCUCUUUCUUGAUUCUGUGGGUGGUGGUGCAUGGCCGUUCUUAGUUGGUGGGGCGACUUGUCUGGUUUAUUCCGAUAACGAACGAGACUCUAGCCUGCUAAAUAGUCGGGCCGAUCCUCCGAGUCGGCCGAUCUUCUUAGAGGGACCGGCGGCGCUCAGCCGCACGAGACAGAGCAAUAACAGGUCAGUGAUGCCCCUAGAUGUCCGGGGCCGCACGCGCGCUACAUUGAAGGAGGCGCCGUGUGCUCCCCCGGUCCGACAGGACCGGGUAACCCGAUGAAUCUCCUUCGUGCUGGGGACAGGGGAAUGUAACCGACCCCUCGAACGAGGAAUUCCCAGUAAGCCCGAGUCAUAAGCUCGUGUUGACUAAGUCCCUGCCCUUUGUGCACACCGCCCGUCGCUACCUCCGAUUGAAUGAUUUAGUGAGGUCUUCGGACCGGCGCCCGGUUCAGCCCCUCGCGGGUGGAGCCGGGUGCCGGAAAGAUGACCGAACUUGAUCACUUAGAGGAAGUAAAAGUCGUAACAAAGUUUC